rnacentral:lncRNA from 1 species
ACCUGGAGAAACUGAAGAACGCAUACAGAUUCUGUGGUAUCGAGCCUGCUAAUCCCACCAAGCUGCACAUCAGAGAGCACUGCAGGACAAAAGUGCCACAUCCCAGAGAGCUGGUCCAAAGGGUGGAAGAAGUGUUUCACCAUUUCUAUCUGGCAAAGGAUCCCAACAACAUCUUCCUUUUCAAACCCUCAAUGUUAAAAGUGUGGUGGAUUCAGCGUAUCCACAUCCUUAGAGGCUGCCUGAGUGAUCCUGAGGUGGAGGAAGGAAUCCUCUACAGACACGGUGGAACCCUACAGCUGAAUCAUGUCAAGGGUGAUGGAGCUGCUGUGCCCAUUUGGAUCCCUGUCAGAGGCACUUCACAGCAGGAGGGGUUUCAUUUCCACCAGGCCCAGUGGGUAACGGGCAAUCGUGUCUCUCCUGAGUUGUUCCAGGCACAGGGUAUGACUGGUGUGGCACGCUGGAAUUAUCAGCGGCUGGUGGACCUGAAGCAGCCUGGGGUUGUCUUACCUGGAGUGUUUGACCCUGUUUUGAUGAUGGAGUUAAACAGGACAUCUAUAAGAGUGACAGGGCAACCCAAAUAUCCAGCCUUGCACAUCUCCAGCAGGGACACAGGAGAGAGGUUUGGCCUGCAAUAUGUGGAGCCAGGCUGUCGACCUGUGCCUCUUGACUUUGACAAACACAAAAGCAGGAAGACAGACCUAGGAGAUGUGGAGAUGCAAGAAGAGUCUUCAUCUGGUGUUCCGUUCUCAUUCCCAUCUCAGGAAUGCUUAAAGGAUACCUCUUCUGCGGAGACCCCUCUUGCUGCAGAACCAGAGGCUACCUCACAGGCUGUCAUUUUUCACCAGUUUCCUACACCAAGUGCUGUGACAGUGAAGGAACAAACAUCUGAUGAGUGUCUUUUAGUUGCAGAACUCUCAAGCACAUCACCACUGCCUGUAGCUGCUUCUCCCUGUGCUGCUCGCACUGGACCCAUUAAGACCGGUGGCCGAGUUUUUGUGUUUCCACCUGCAAAGGCUGUUCCUGAAGCUGUCCCUCUGGACCAGACAGGCGUUCGAGAAGAUGGUGAAGGACAUCGUAGAGAAGCAACAGGCAGUUCAGCAGCAACAACAAUUGCAGGCGCCGCAAAAAAAGCAAACCAGAUCCUGUUUAGCCUGUGGCCAGCCUAAGUCUCGAUACAUGGGUGAUGGCUCCUCAAUACAUUUCUUUUAUCAAGGUAGUGAUGUUAAAUACUUCUACUGCUCCAAGGAAGUCCAUAUAAUGGGUUCGUGGAAAAAAGCCCAUAUAAAUAAAUUGCCAUUGUACGCAUAGUGACUCGGAGGGAUUGUAGGGUGGAUUUGGAUCCAGUUUGCAAUGUAUUUAACUGGCCAAUGGGACGUCCCAAC